CUGUGUCAGAGGCCAGGCCUUUGAGCCUCCACGCCUGUCCCCCAGGGCUGUCCCCAAAAGGCUCCCAGACAUUUGGGCUAGGGCAUGUCCCAGCUUCCUAAAGGCAGGAUCCCCCAGGAACAGAGCCAAGAUGUCUCCUUGCCCAGGCCCCCGGGCCAUCUCUGAGCUCCUGCUGUCCUGCAGGCCUCCAGGGAAGCCCUUCUUGCUGCCGCCGAGCUGCUGAAGUGGAAGACGCUCAAGCACCUGCUGCAGAGAGAGCGGCUGUGGGAGCUUGGAGCGUGCUUGCUGCAGAACAGCAGGAACAGGGCUGAAGACUUCAUCCACCAGAGCCUGCCCUACCUGCAGGACCCUCAGGCCAAUGUGCGCCUGGCGGCCGUCAGGUUCAUCGGACUCAUCACACGGCGCCUGAGGGAGCAGACCACAGAGAGUCAGGCUGACAUCCUGAGCGCGCUUCAGCCCUUGGAGAACGACUGGGACAUCUCUGUCAGCUCCCUGGCAGUUCAGACAACCUCCAUUUUGAGGAGUCCUUGCGUGCAGCAAAGACCAAGAGGCCUCCUGCAAGCACUGCGCUGCUGCUGGCCGUGAGCCCGGCAGAGGUGCAGCUUGCCUUGGCUAAAGGACUGGGGCUCAAUAAA